rnacentral:rRNA from 1 species
UACGGAGGGUGCAAACGUUGCUCGGAAUCACUGGGCGUAAAGCGCACGUAGGCGGCUCGAAAAGUCGGAUGUGAAAGCCCUGGGCUCAACCUAGGAAGUGCAUUCGAAACUGCCGAGCUUGAGUACGGGAGAGGGUUGCGGAAUUCCCGGUGUAGAGGUGAAAUCCGUAGAUAUCGGAAGGAACAUCAGUGGCGAAGGCGGCUAUCUGGACAACAACUGACACUGAGGCACGAAAGCGUGGGGAGCAAACAGG